rnacentral:rRNA from 1 species
CCGGCCUGAGAGGGCGACCGGCCACAUUGGGACUGAGAUACGGCCCAGACUCCUACGGGAGGCAGCAGUGGGGAAUAUUGCACAAUGGGCGCAAGCCUGAUGCAGCGACGCCGCGUGAGGGAUGGAGGCCUUCGGGUUGUAAACCUCUUUUAUCGGGGAGCAAGCGAGAGUGAGUUUACCCGUUGAAUAAGCACCGGCUAACUACGUGCCAGCAGCCGCGGUAAUACGUAGGGUGCAAGCGUUAUCCGGAAUUAUUGGGCGUAAAGGGCUCGUAGGCGGUUCGUCGCGUCCGGUGUGAAAGUCCAUCGCUUAACGGUGGAUCCGCGCCGGGUACGGGCGGGCUUGAGUGCGGUAGGGGAGACUGGAAUUCCCGGUGUAACGGUGGAAUGUGUAGAUAUCGGGAAGAACACCAAUGGCGAAGGCAGGUCUCUGGGCCGUUACUGACGCUGAGGAGCGAAAGCGUGGGGAGCGAACAGGAUUAGAUACCCUGGUAGUCCACGCCGUAAACGGUGGAUGCUGGAUGUGGGGCCCGUUCCACGGGUUCCGUGUCGGAGCUAACGCGUUAAGCAUCCCGCCUGGGGAGUACGGCCGCAAGGCUAAAACUCAAAGAAAUUGACGGGGGCCCGCACAAGCGGCGGAGCAUGCGGAUUAAUUCGAUGCAACGCGAAGAACCUUACCUGGGCUUGACAUGUUCCCGACGGUCGUAGAGAUACGGCUUCCCUUCGGGGCGGGUUCACAGGUGGUGCAUGGUCGUCGUCAGCUCGUGUCGUGAGAUGUUGGGUUAAGUCCCGCAACGAGCGCAACCCUCGCCCCGUGUUGCCAGCGGAUUAUGCCGGGAACUCACGGGGGACCGCCGGGGUUAACUCGGAGGAAGGUGGGGAUGACGUCAGAUCAUCAUGCCCCUUACGUCCAGGGCUUCACGCAUGCUACAAUGGCCGGUACAACGGGAUGCGACGCGGCGACGCGGAGCGGAUCCCUGAAAACCGGUCUCAGUUCGGAUCGCAGUCUGCAACUCGACUGCGUGAAGGCGGAGUCGCUAGUAAUCGCGAAUCAGCAACGUCGCGGUGAAUGCGUUCCCGGGCCUUGUACACACCGCCCGUCAAGUCAUGAAAGUGGGCAGCACCCGAAGCCGGUGGCCUAACCCCUUGUGGGAUGGAGCCGUCUAAGGUGAGGCUCGUGAUUGGGACUAAGUCGUAACAAGGUAGCCGUACCGGAAGGUGCGGCUG